AGAGUUUGAUCCUGGCUCAGGACGAACGCUGGCGGCGUGCUUAACACAUGCAAGUCGAGCGGAAAGGCCCUUCGGGGUACUCGAGCGGCGAACGGGUGAGUAACACGUGGGCAACCUGCCCUCAGCUCUGGGAUAACUCCGGGAAACCGGGGCUAAUACCGGAUACGACCUCUGCCGGCAUCGGUGGUGGUGGAAAGUUCUUCGGCUGAGGAUGGGCCCGCGGCCUAUCAGCUUGUUGGUGGGGUGAUGGCCUACCAAGGCGACGACGGGUAGCCGGCCUGAGAGGGCGACCGGCCACACUGGGACUGAGACACGGCCCAGACUCCUACGGGAGGCAGCAGUGGGGAAUAUUGCGCAAUGGGCGGAAGCCUGACGCAGCGACGCCGCGUGAGGGAUGAAGGCCUUCGGGUUGUAAACCUCUUUCAGCAGGGACGAAGCGAGAGUGACGGUACCUGCAGAAGAAGCACCGGCCAACUACGUGCCAGCAGCCGCGGUAAUACGUAGGGUGCAAGCGUUGUCCGGAAUUAUUGGGCGUAAAGAGCUCGUAGGCGGUCUGUCGCGUCGGCUGUGAAAACUCGGGGCUCAACCCCGAGCCUGCAGUCGAUACGGGCAGACUAGAGUGCUGUAGGGGAGACUGGAAUUCCUGGUGUAGCGGUGAAAUGCGCAGAUAUCAGGAGGAACACCGGUGGCGAAGGCGGGUCUCUGGGCAGUAACUGACGCUGAGGAGCGAAAGCGUGGGGAGCGAACAGGAUUAGAUACCCUAGUAGUCC
rnacentral:rRNA from 1 species